rnacentral:rRNA from 1 species
GUGGUGCAUGGUUGUCGUCAGCUCGUGUCGUGAGAUGUUGGGUUAAGUCCCGCAACGAGCGCAACCCUUAAGCUUAGUUGCCAUCAUUAAGUUGGGCACUCUAAGUUGACUGCCGGUGACAAACCGGAGGAAGGUGGGGAUGACGUCAAAUCAUCAUGCCCCUUAUGAUUUGGGCUACACACGUGCUACAAUGGACAAUACAAAGGGCAGCGAAACCGUGAGGUCAAGCAAAUCCCAUAAAGUUGUUCUCAGUUCGGAUUGUAGUCUGCAACUCGACUACAUGAAGCUGGAAUCGCUAGUAAUCGUAGAUCAGCAUGCUACGGUGAAUACGUUCCCGGGUCUUGUACACACCGCCCGUCACACCACGAGAGUUUGUAACACCCGAAGCCGGUGGAGUAACCUUUUAGGAGCUAGCCGUCGAAGGUGGGACAAAUGAUUGGGGUGAAGUCGUAACAAGGUAGCCGUAUCGGAAGGUGCGGCUGGAUCACCUCCUUU